rnacentral:rRNA from 1 species
GAUGAACGCUGGCGGCGUGCCUAAUACAUGCAAGUCGAGCGAACACAUGAGGAGCUUUCUCCCCUGACGUUAGCGGCGGACGGGUGAGUAACACGUGGAUAACCUACCUAUAAGACUGGGAUAACUUCGGGAAACCGGUGCUAAUACCGGAUAAUAUAUUGAACCGCAUGGUUCAAUAGUGAAAGACGGUUUUCGUGUCACUUUGAGCUGGAUUCGUGCCGCAUUAGCUAGUUGGUAAGGUAACGGCUCACCAAGGCUACGAUGCGUAGCCGACCUGAGAGGGUGAUCGGCCACACUGGAACUGAGACACGGUCCAGACUCCUACGGGAGGCAGCAGUAGGGAAUAUUCGGCAAUGGGCGAAAGCCUGACGGAGCAACACCGCGUGAGUGAUGAAGGUCUUCGGGUCGUAAAACUCUGUUAUUAGGAAAGAACAGAUGUGUAAGAAACUACGCACGUCUUGACGGUACCCAAUCAGAAAGCACCGGCUAACUACGUG